rnacentral:lncRNA from 1 species
GGGGUUGCCGUACGGCCAACAGGCGGCUCUGUCCAUCUCCCUGCGAUAACAUAAUAUAUCAACCUUUUUGAAUGUGAAUUAAUUGUUACUUAUGACAAAAUGAAGAACAACUUUAAUACUGACGAUUUUCAUUUUCUUUCAUUUUUUUUUAAGUUCUUGUUAAUACUUUAACGCGGUAAGUCUUUUUUUUUCUUAGCAGCGAAUGAU